rnacentral:rRNA from 1 species
AGAGUGAACGCUGGCGGCAGGCCUAACACAUGCAAGUCGAACGGCAGCACAGGGGAGCUUGCUCCCUGGGUGGCGAGUGGCGGACGGGUGAGGAAUACAUCGGAAUCUACCCAGUCGUGGGGGAUAACCUCGGGAAACCGGGACUAAUACCGCAUACGACCCACAGGUGAAAGCGGAGGACCGCAAGGCUUCGCGCGAUUGGAUGAGCCGAUGUCGGAUUAGCUUGUUGGCGGGUAACGGCCACCAAGGCGACGAUCCGUAGCUGGUCUGAGAGGAUGAUCAGCCACACUGGAACUGAGACACGGUCCAGACUCCUACGGGAGGCAGCAGUGGGGAAUAUUGGACAAUGGGCGCAAGCCUGAUCCGGCCAUGCCGCGUGUGUGAAGAAGGCCUUCGGGUUGUAAAGGCACUUUUUGUCCGGAAAGAAAAGCUUUCGGUUAAUACCCGGAAGUUCUGACGGUACCGAAGAAUAAGCACCGGCUAACUUCGUGCCAGCAGCCGCGUAAU